AGUGAACGCUGGCGGUAGGCCUAACACAUGCAAGUCGAACGGCAGCACAGUAAGAGCUUGCUCUUACGGGUGGCGAGUGGCGGACGGGUGAGGAAUACAUCGGAAUCUACUUUUUCGUGGGGGAUAACGUAGGGGAACUUACGCUAAUACCGCAUACGACCUACGGGUGAAAGCAGGGGAUCUUCGGACCUUGCGCGGUUGAAUGAGCCGAUGUCGGAUUAGCUAGUUGGCGGGGUAAAGGCCCACCCAGGCGACGAUCCGUAGCUGGUCUGAGAGGAUGAUCAGCCACACUGGAACUGAGACACGGUCCAGACUCCUACGGGAGGCAGCAGUGGGGAAUAUUGGACAAUGGGCGCAAGCCUGAUCCAGCCAUACCGCGUGGGUGAAGAAGGCCUUCGGGUUGUAAAGCCCUUUUGUUGGGAAAGAAAAGCAGCAGGUUAAUACCCCGCUGUUCUGACGGUACCCAAAGAAUAAGCACCGGCUAACUUCGUG
rnacentral:rRNA from 1 species